UACGUAGGCAGCAAGCGUUGUUCGGAGUUACUGGGCGUAAAGGGUGCGUAGGCGGUCCUAUAAGUAUGGUGUGAAAUCUCCCGGCUUAACUGGGAGGGUGCGCUAUAGACUGUGGGACUAGAGUGUGGGAGAGGAAAGUGGAAUUCCUGGUGUAGCGGUGAAAUGCGUAGAUAUCAGGAGGAACACCGGUGGUGUAGACGGCUUUCUGGACCGACACUGACGCUGAGACACGAAAGCGUGGGUAGCAAACAGG
rnacentral:rRNA from 1 species